CAGUGAUUUUACAUGUUAGAGGGAGUGAGGUAUAGUGACACAGUAACAGAGGGAUUGAGGGCCCUGCUCAAUGAGUUUACUUCUUAGAGGGAGUGGGGUAUAGUGACACAGUAACAGAGGGAUUGAGGGCCCUGCUCAGUGAGUUUACAUGUUAGAGGGAGUGGGGUAUAGUGACACAGUAACAGAUGUAUUGAGGGUCCUGCUCACUGAGUUUACAUGUUAGAGGGAGUGGAGUAUAGUGACACAGUAACAGAGGGAUUGAGGGCCCGCACAGUGAGGUUACAUGUUAGAGGGAGUGGGGUAUAGUGACACAGUAACAGAGGGAUUGAGGGCCCGCUCAGUGAGCUUACAUGUUAGAGGGAGUGGGGUAUAGUGACACAGUAACAGAGGGAUUGAGACCCUUUUACAUGUUAGAGGGAGUGGGGUAUAGUGACACAGUAACAGAGGGAUUGAGGGCCUGCUCAGUGAGUUUACAUGUUAGAGGGAGUGGGGUAUAGUGACACAGUUACAGAGGGAUUGAGGGUCCUGCUCAGUGAGUUUACAUGUUAGAGGGAGUGGGGUAUAGUGACACAGCAACAGAGGGAUUGAGGCCCUGCUCAGUGAGUUUACAUGUUAGAGGGAGUGGGGUAUAGUGACACAGCAACAGAGGGAUUGAGGCCCUGCUCAGUGAGUUACAUGUUAGAGGGAGUGGGGUAUAGUGACACAGUAACAGAGGGAUUGAGGGCCCUGCUCAGUGAGUUUACAUGUUAGAGGGAGUGGGGUAUAGUGACACAGUAACAGAGGGAUUGAGGGCCUGCUCAGUGAGUUUACAUGUUAGAGGGAGUGGGGUAUAGUGACACAGUAACAGAGGGAUUGAGGGCCCUGCUCAGUGAGUUUACAUGUUAGAGGGAGUGGGGUAUAGUGACACAGUAACAGAGGGAUUGAGGGCCUGCUCAGUGAGUUUACAUGUUAGAGGGAGUGGGGUAUAGUGACACAGUAACAGAGGGAUUGAGGGCCCUGCUCAGUGAGUUUACAUGUUAGAGGGAGGGGGUAUAGUGACACAGUAACAGAGGGAUUGAGGGCCUGCUCAGUGAGUUUACAUGUUAGAGGGAGUGGGGUAUAGUGACACAGUAACAGAGGGAUUGAGGGCCCUGCUCAGUGAGUUUACAUGUUAGAGGGAGUGGGUAUAGUGACAGUAACAGAGGGAUUGAGGGCCCUGCUCAGUGAGUUUACAUGUUAGAGGGAGUGGGGUAUAGUGACACAGUAACAGAGGGAUUGAGGGCCUGCUCAGUGAGUUUACAUGUUAGAGGGAGUGGGGUAUAUUGACAGUAACAGAGGGAUUGAGGGCCUGCUCAGUGAGUUUACAUGUUAGAGGGAGUGGGGUAUAGUGACACAGUAACAGAGGGAUUGAGGGCCCUGCUCAGUGAGUUUACAUGUUAGAGGGAGUGGGGUAUAGUGACACAGUAACAGGGGCAUUGAGGGUCCUGCUCAGUGAGUUUACAUGUUAGAGGGAGUGGGGUAUAGUGACACAGUAACAGAGGGAUUGAGGGCCUGCUCAGUGAGUUUACAUGUUAGAGGGAGUGGGGUAUAGUGACACAGUAACAGAGGGAUUGAGGGCCUGCUCAGCGAGUUUACAUGUUAGAGGGAGUGGGGUAUAGUGACACAGUAACAGAGGGAUUGAGGGCCUGCUCAGUGAGCUUACAUGUUAGAGGGAGAGGGGUAUAGUGACACAGUAACAGAGGGAUUGAGGGCCUGCUCAGUGAGUUUACAUGUUAGAGGGAGUGGGGUAUAGUGACACAGUAACAGAGGAAUUGAGAGCCCUGCUCAGUGAGUUUACAUGCUAGAGGGAGUGGGGUAUAGUGACAGUAACAGAGGGAUUGAGGGCCUGCUCAGUGAGUUUACAUGUUAGAGGGAGUGGGGUAUAGUGACACAGUAACAG
rnacentral:lncRNA from 1 species